GCUCUAGUAGUUUACAAAAAACAUUGGCCUUGUAAGCCAAAGAAUGAAGGUAGACCCUUCUUAGAGUU
rnacentral:tRNA from 1 species